rnacentral:piRNA from 1 species
CAGAUGCUUUCUUUAGGACGCAGAGAAGGUGU